rnacentral:hammerhead_ribozyme from 1 species
GCACAGCUGAAGAGUCCCAUACUAGGGCGAAACGAGUGUCCAGUGC